rnacentral:misc_RNA from 1 species
GAUGAAGAACGCAGCGAAAUGCGAUAAGUAAUGCGAAUUGCAGAAUUUCCGUGAGUCAUCGAAUCUUUGAACGCACAUUGCGCCCGCCAGCAUUCUGGCGGGCAUGCCUGUUCGAGCGUCAUUUCAACCCUCGAGCCCCCCCGGGGGCCUCGGUGUUGGGGGACGGCACACCAGCCGCCCCCGAAAUGCAGUGGCGACCUCGCCGCAGCCUCCCCUGCGUAGUAGCACACACCUCGCACCGGAGCGCGGAGACGGUCACGCCGUAAAACGCCCAACUUCUUAGAGUUGACCUCGGAUCAGGUAGGAAUACCCGCUGAACUUAAGCAUAUCAAUAAGCGGAGGA